rnacentral:lncRNA from 1 species
UUUGUUUACUUCUUCUAUUUUCUUCUUAUUAUAGAUUUGAUCCAAAGGCAGCUCAAGGCAUGGGGAGACAUUCCACAGACUUUGCUGGAGUGGAAGCAAAAGAACAGUAAGGCUCCAAAAUCACCAGUCCUUGUGGUAUUUUCAGAGGAGGUUGCUCACUUCAGGCAAAGGAGGCAAAUCCUGUCCUGCUUUCAACCUUCUGCACUGUUGAUAUCUUGCAGCUGUAAACAAGGUCUGCAGGAAGAGGACUGCUUCACUCUGAACAGGCUUCUUUCUUAUGCUUUUGCAAAAUUAGAGUGUGCUCCUACUAUCAUGAUGGCUGCUCUAACUUGCACCACUGUCUGUGUUCCUGAGGAUGCUUCGACUAGAUCUUCUCUUCGUGUUGUACACUUAAACAUACCUAUCAGUGCCUCCAGGACUGAUUACAGUGUUCAAUAUGUGAGUGGUGUGCAUUCUAACUUUGACCUGCCUGCCAAUAUUGGAAGCAUGUGGCAGCUGUGGUGA